AGUUGUAAUUUGUAGAGGAUGCUUUUGGUGAGGUGCCGCCCGAGUUCCCUGGAACGGGACGCCACAGAGGGUGAGAGCCCCGUCUGGCUGGCCACCGAGCCUCUGUAAAGCUCCUUCGACGAGUCGAGUAGUUUGGGAAUGCUGCUCAAAAUGGGAGGUAUAUGUCUUCUAAAGCUAAAUAUUGGCCAGAGACCGAUAGCGCACAAGUAGAGUGAUCGAAAGAUGAAAAGCACCUUGAAAAGAGGGUUAAACAGUACGUGAAAUUGUUGAAAGGGAAGCGCUUGUGACCAGACUUGGGCGCGGCGGAUCAUCCGGGGUUCUCUCCGGUGCACUUCGCCGCGUUCAGGCCAGCAUCA
rnacentral:rRNA from 1 species